rnacentral:tRNA from 1 species
GCAUCAGAGGCCGAAUCGGCACGGCAGCAGCCCGUAAAGCUGCGGCUCCGAAGUGAGCGUUGGAGGUUCGAGUCCUCCCUGAUGCA